ACGUAUUCACGGCAUAAUAAAAAAUUUCAUCUGUAAACUCAAACUUGAUGAAUGUAUUCACGUUACUAAUCUUUACUGUUGAUUUUUCGACCCAUAUUUAUUCGAACUUUUUCACAUCAUUUGUCAAGUACUAUCUACCCUGGAAGUUGUGAAUCCUCUUUUAGUCCUAUUUUGUAUGUAUAGUUGGGUUAUAUAGGGUUACCUCUAAAUCAUCGGCAAUAAUUUCAUCGAUACUCCGACGACUCGAAGUCACCGACGAUCGUUCCAUCGACUAUCAUUUCGCCGACAUGGUCUUUUGCCGAAAAUUAUUAUAUAUCUUUGUCGUUUAUGCACGAAAAUGAAUACGUAGAUAAAGAUGUAGAAUAUGAUCAUCUUGAAAUGUCGAACGUUGUUUCUCGAAAUAAUUGUCAUUAAAAUUUCAUCUUUAUCUUAUAUUAUUUAUUUAGUUAACAGAACCUAGAGUUCCAGAGCCCUGUGUUACAAAGCAUAUAAAAAAGGGGAGAAAACUAAUCCAAGAAUAUAUAGAUAUAGAAGUACAGGCUGAAAAGUGUGCACAGUAAUGUUUAACCCUUUGCCUUACGAUUUAAGUUCCAAUAACACGUGCCAUAAACAGCAACGAGGUCGGUCAUACGUCUUUUGAUAUGUAAAUGCAUGUGUAAGAUACAACUAAUUUUAUUUCGCAAGAUGUUUGAUAAAUAUUUAGUACCAAUUAAUCAUUGAACGAGACAUUAUCUUGAAGUAAAUAAUGAAUCAAUAACAUCGACGUACCACGUCCCUCAUACGUGUUGUUUAUGUUUCGCCCGAUCGACGUACCACGUCAUAGCAGUAACACUAUCACCCGCAACGAUAUCUCCACCUCAAAUCUAAUAUCAUUAUUAAAAAUUUCAAUAUGGAAAACAGGUGUAUUGCGUAAAGCAGAUUGUUUGUGCAUUGAGAUUGACCAGUUGAUGUAGCGAGGAACAGACUACUAAGUCAUUCAUAAUUUUCAAAAGAAUCAACAUGUCAGCCAACUUUCUGCGGUCCUCGAAUGUCAAUUGUAAUGUCUACGGAAUACAGACAGUGUGGUGUAGUUGUAAUCACAGCUGUGAAUAAGGGUAACCUAGGGAACGUAACACAGAACGUAGGAAUCUAAGUCGUGAUCUUUCUUUAAUAAGCUGAACAUAUUUAAUUUAAUUUAACGUUUAUGAUGUCAGGAACUAUAUAACGCUAGCGUGUACUCUACAUGCGGUCUAACCUAACGAUUGUACAAAGUUCUCAGCGUUAGAGGGUUUCUCAAGUCCUUACAAAAUCUGAAGAUAAAACCAAGUAAUUAGUUUGCAUCAAUGAUGAUGCAUGAUGAUUUGUAAUAUGUUUAGUGUAUGAUAACUAAACAUUAUAAUAAACGCAAAGGUCACUGUUGACCGAUGACAGGAUGGCGUCUCUCAGAACGGAGAAUUAUAUUGCUUGUUAUAUCGCUGGUACAACACAAUGCGUCAGCAUAUGUACUGCGGUGUCUGAGAAACCUCAUAUCCUCAUAAACAAUUUAAGAUAAUCGAUAAUGAAGAUUAUGAAUAAUAAUGGGGUUAAAUGAGGGCCUAAAAGAGCCCUGAGGAAUGCCUUCCUGAAGUCAGUGUACACCACAUUUACACGUGUUGUUCACUGUUCGAUAUGUAUGUAUUGUAUAACUACUGGAAAUGUUGAGGUUGGUAACUUGUCCGGAAUAAAUAUAAGCUGUUGAAUAGGUAUGUGAUUCUUGACGAUCGAAUUUAAUGACGAAUUUAAUGGAGAUAAUUUUCUCAUAUAAAAUUUAUUAAUUAUGGAUAUUGGUCUGAAAUUGAUAACCCUAGUUUUGUCACGUGAUUCAAGUAUGGGAGUAAUUAGGCUGAACCUUCAUUUUGGCAGAAAGAUUUUAGCGCUAAUAGAUUUCUGCCUUUAGUGACAGGAGGAGGAAAAACAUUGCCUAUACGGAUCAUCGAGUCAGUUAAAUGGAGCUCGAUGGAGCUCAUUGAAAUAUCAUGAUAUUGUGAAAAUCAACAGGGAAUAGAAUACACUGAUUCAAAAAAUUAGAUAAAAGAAUCUACGAUAGCCUAAUUAAAGUGGACAAUUGCAAUUCAUCUUGCCAAUCCAUACAUGCAAGGAUAAGUUAGUUAAAUCAGUACGAACUGACAAAUUUGCAGAAUGACUUUGGGUUUGCCGCCAAGGUAUUUUCAAUAACACGGAGGUAAGCAGGGCUAAUCAUUCAUACCGCAGCGUUUACAUUCAGAUCUAAGGUUAACAAAAUUAAAAUCACUUACAUUCAAACUAUAUCAAAUUAAAUAUUCAAUCAAAUUAAGAUUCAAUCAUAUUAACUUAUAUCGUUAGUCUGCAUGCAGGCUUGAUGUGAAAAUUUUUUCUGUACAAACAAUACUUUAAGCUCUGUAAAGAACCAUCUCGGAAACAAGAAAUUGUAGACUCGUGAAAUGAUCGUUGGUAAUUUCAACGUGUCGGUAAAUAAACAUUGUCGACGAACACGACGUCAGUGAAAUUCUGUCUAUGAAAACGAUUUAAAGUGAGGAUUUAAAGAUUGCGUUAAUGAGACGGUAAAGUUACCGUGCUCAUACCAGCGACGAUUAUUUAGUCGUUGACGUCAACUUACUCUUCUACAAUUAAAAACAACACUGAAUAAGAAUAAUACUAAAGCUGCAUAUACAUGUAUCAUGUGUAAAAAUAUGAAGGACUUUUUGCAUUUAAAUGAUUUACAUUCGUACGAAACAAUGAACCGAAUGGUAACAAACAGUGGCAACACCACAUUUGCAAGCAUCAAAAUUCCUAUUUUAAUAUUCCAGUGCAACGCAUAAAUAAAUUGCAAUUAACGACUUUCUAGAGAAACACUUUACCUAAAUAUACCUAAAUAUACAUAAUCUUCUUGAUAAUGAUGUACAAACUAUGUAUGUAAAAAAAUGAAUUAUUAUUAUUAUUAUUGUAAUAAAUAAAAGUAUAAAUAGAAAUACAAGAUA